rnacentral:rRNA from 1 species
CAGCAGACUCUUCGGAUCGUAAACUCUGUUAUUAGGGAAGAACAUAUGUGUAAGUCACUGUGCACAUCUUGACGGUACCUAAUCAGAAAGCCACGGCUAACUACGUGCCAGCAGCCGCGGUAAUACGUAGGUGGCAAGCGUUAUCCGGAAUUAUUGGGCGUAAAGCGCGCGUAGGCGGUUUUUUAAGUCUGAUGUGAAAGCCCAYGGCUCAACCGUGGAGGGUCAUUGGAAACUGGAAAACUUGAGUGCAGAAGAGGAAAGUGGAAUUCCAUGUGUAGCGGUGAAAUGCGCAGAGAUAUGGAGGAACCCCAGUGGCUGCAGACGA